CUGUGCCACUGAGCUAAAUCCCCAGCCCCUUGUUUUAAGACAGAAUCUCACUGUGUAGUCCAGGCUGACCUUGAAAUCUCAGUGAUCCUCCUGCCUCAGCCUCUAGAGGGUUGGGAUUACAGGUGUGAGCCACCAUGCCUGGCUAAUUUUCUUUUAAAAAAUAGUUUUCGUAUUUAGGGGCUCCGUUGUCUUCUUUGGUUUUGGAUGUUUGAAUCCAGCGCCUCCUGCAGGUGGAGCAUGCAGUCGGAGGACAAGUCUCAGCUAUUCUCAAACUUCCUCAGAGCAGCCUCCAGCUCCAGAGGCCGGGAAGCCGCUCUGCCCAUGCAGUGUGACAGUGGGGGCCGGCCCAGGCCUCGCUCUCUGUACCCCUGGGGUCCCGGUGCCUGGGAGGUACACACGCAUGGCAAGGUGCGGCAGGGUACAGGACCCAGGGUGGAGCCCAGUGGUGGCGGCAGCAGGCCCCUUGGGGCACGUGGCUGCCCAGGCCCACGGGCACCCAUUCAGAACCCCCUUCGUGAGGCUGAGCUGGCCUGCCUUAGGGUUCUGAUUGACAGCGGCAUGUGGACCAGGAGUACAGCCGAACAGAGGCCGGAUGUUCAGCAGAGCCCUCAGACCCCUGCAUGUCCAUCGCGGCCCUCGGUGGUGACAGUCAGCUGCACGGUUCAGAACUGAGCGAGGGGGCCCAGGAGAUCAGCAGGCGGCACAGGAGCCCUGUGGAUGAGCAGUUGCAGAAGCCAAGUGGGGCCCCCUGGCCCUGGCAGUCACUGCUCUGUGACCGCCCUGGACCUGCAGGCUCGAGAGAAAGACGUGCUGCCCGAGACGGUUAGAGCCUUAGAACAGAAAAGAAGACGGACUCGUGAGCUAAGUGUUCAACUCCAGAAGACAAGGGGCAAAGCACAACCAUAACAAGUAGGAC
rnacentral:lncRNA from 1 species